rnacentral:rRNA from 1 species
UACAGAGGGUGCGAGCGUUGUCCGGAAUCACUGGGCGUAAAGGGCGCGUAGGUGGCUUGGUAAGCGUGUGGUGAAAGUCCGGGGCUCAACCCCGGAUCUGCCGUGCGAACUGCUGAGCUCGAGCAAUGUAGAGGCAGGUGGAAUUUCGGGUGUAGCGGUGGAAUGCGUAGAUAUCCGAAAGAACACCAGUGGCGAAGGCGGCCUGCUGGGCAUUUGCUGACACUGAGGCGCGACAGCGUGGGGAGCAAACAGG